AAAAUGUUAAUUACAUGUCAUGAUAUACAUAUAUAACACAAUGACUGCUAUCGAAAAGUUCAGAAGGUAAAGAACACACGCACGGUAGUUUAGUUUAUGUAUACUGAAAGCAACGAUGAAUCAAUGUAAUCAAAAAACGAUUUAUAGUCGUGCUCGGUAAACUGGUACAAUUACAAAGUUUGACCAAUAAGUAAUGAGACUAAUUCAAUAAAAUACGUAUAUUUAAAUAUUAAGAUACAUCGAUGUGAUCCCCUUCAAAGUACUCCCCUCCCACCCUUAAACACUGGUUCCAAUGUUUUUCCAGCUCUCAUAACAUUUCUGGAAGGCUUCGACUGGAAUGUCCUGAAGUACCCUCGUCACGGCGUUCUGGAUGUCAGUUAUGGACUCAAAAUGCGUUCCUUUCACGGCCAAUUUUGUUUGAGGGAACAAAAAGAAGUCACAGGGUGACAUAUCCGGCGAAUAGGGCGUUUGUGGCAACAUUGCGAUGUUCUUAGAGGUCAAAAAUCGCGACACACUUCGAGGUGUAAUUCAUCGACGUGCGUUUAAAUGGUAUUAUUA